CCUACGGGAGGCAGCAGUGAGGAAUAUUGGUCAAUGGGCGCGAGCCUGAACCAGCCAAGUCGCGUGAGGGAAGACGGUCCUAUGGAUUGUAAACCUCUUUUGUCGGGGAGCAAAAGACGCCACGCGUGGCGUUCCGAGAGUACCCGACGAACAAGCAUCGGCUAACUCCGUGCCAGCAGCCGCGGUAAUACGGAGGAUGCGAGCGUUAUCCGGAUUUAUUGGGUUUAAAGGGUGCGCAGGCGGAAGAUCAAGUCAGCGGUAAAAUUGAGAGGCUCAACCUCUGCGAGCCGUUGAAACUGGUUGUCUUGAGUGAGUGAGAAGUAUGCGGAAUGCGUGGUGUAGCGGUGAAAUGCAUAGAUAUCACGCAGAACUCCGAUUGCGAAGGCAGCAUACCGGCGCUCAACUGACGCUCAUGCACGAAAGUGUGGGUAUCGAACAGGAUUAGAUACCCUAGUAGUC
rnacentral:rRNA from 1 species